CCGAUGAGGACUUUGCUGUGCGAAAGUAUCCAUGCCACCAUUCCCAAAUGUUCAAAGAAGAAAAAACUCCUCUCGAAGAAAUUGGAUUUGGUAUGAUAAAUCAGACUCCUUUAGAUAGCAUGCAUCUCAUUGACCUCGGAGUCACCAAAAAAAUGCUAACCAGAAUAAUGCAUAAUAAAACUGAAAAGAAAACCUCAAAACAAAAUAUUUCAAAAAUAUCUUCUGAAUUGGUGAAAUUUAAAAAAUACAUUCCAAGGGAAUUCCCAAGAAAACCCAGGCCUUUAGAUGAUCUUUGUCAUUGGAAAGCGACUGAAUUUCACCAGUUCCUUGCUUAUACAGGAAUUAUUGCUCUUUAUAAUAAUGUACACGAAGAUAUUUAUUAUGAAUUUUUAACUUUACAUUGUGCUUAUCGACUUCUUAACAAUGCACGACAUAUGGAUCAAAAUAUUGUUCAAGCUAAUAAUUUGCUUCAAUUAUUUGUCGAGAACUUCUCAACUGUAUUUGGUUCGAACAGCAUUUCUUUUAACGUUCAUAAUCUGCUUCAUUUGGCUUCUUGCGCAGAAAAGUAUGGUCCCCUUAUUUCGUUUUCUGCAUAUGCAUUUGAAAAUAAACUGCAAACACUGAAAAAACAUGUUCGAAAACCAUCACAUAUCUUUCAACAAAUUAUUCAAAAGGAAAAAAAUUGCAUGAUUGUCAACACUAUUCAGGAUGGGUUAAAAUAUGAAAAAGGUGUUAUCGUUGGAGCUUUUGUAAAUGAUUGCUACAUAUCCUGCAAAGAACCAGAUAAUAUUUGCGCGGUGAAUUCAUGCAUUCCAAUAAAAAUUGAUAAUAUAAAGAAAAAGGGCGAAAUAUAUAUUGAAGGCAGUCGAAUUUUGGCAUUAGAAAGUUUCUACGAAGAACCGGUGAAUUCUUGUGAGAUUGGUAUUUUCAAAACGAAUCUGACUCUAGGGGAAAAAGAGACAUUUUGUAUUAAAGACAUUCAGUUCAAAUUUGUAUGCUUGCCAAUUGAUUCUGAUUUUGUAAUCGUGCCCAUUUUACAUUCCUGCUUUCCAGAGAAAUAUCAAGCACAAAUUUUUACCUCCUAAGUACACAACUCCCGCACAUAAACAUGUCGAACGAAAAUGCCAACCCUUCCAAAGGAAAAAUGAAAUAUUUUGCUCCACAAGGUAAUCUCCAAAGAUUAUCACUAAAUUUUUAACAGUAUAACAAAAUUGAGUUCAUAUUUUUGAUAGCUAAUGCAAAAUGUUCUUCCUGCCAAGAAAAUGCCAGAAAACUAGACACGAUUAUUGAUAUUUUGGCGGAGCAUAAAGUUUUACUGGAUCGUGUUAUUUCUCAGAACGCAUUUGUGGACAAUAUUAUGACAAUUUUUCCAAUUGAAUCGGAAGAAAAACUUCGAGAAUUUGAUCGAAUUCUCGCAACACAAGCAGAUCUAUAUGUACGUAUCUGCGUUUUGGGAAUAACAAAUUCAUAACUAAAACAAUUUUUACAAUUGCAGACUCGACAAAUGAAAAAUCUCAUUGCAGGUAACGCUGAACGUAAUUUGCAUAAAGUAUUUGGAAGAAAUAUUAUUAUGGAUUUUAAUGUUGACGGAACUUUCGGGAAAAAAGGUCUACGAGAUUUUGGUAAUGUACUUGCCGCCAUAAUAGAAGUUAUAUCAACAUUUAAUAAAUUACCUGACAAGACUUUACGAGCAGCGUUCCAACGCCAAAAGAAAAAGUAUUUUAAGAUCAACAAACGAAGCAGGCGCACCGAAGAAAAGGAACAAGAUGAAAAUGAUGAAGAACCACAAAUUUAACUGAAUGUUUUUAUGUUAUACUAUAUAAUUUUAAAAUCCUAGUUCUAACACUAUUCAGUUUUAUUAAAAAUAAGACAAGGUUUGGCCAGCCUUGAAAAAAGUGAGCUAUAUAUGUAA